CUGCUUGACAAGCUGCAGCACAGCUGAAAUUGGAAUGAUACAGAGUAUAUUAAUAUAAUCCCUACACAAGGAUGGCAUGUAAAUUUGGGAAGCAUUUUAUGUUUUU